rnacentral:tRNA from 1 species
GGUUGUGGUUCAGUGGUAGAGCCCUUGCCUUGCAUGCAUGAGGCACUGGGUUCGAUCCCCGGCACCA